rnacentral:tRNA from 1 species
CGCUACGGACUUGAUUGGAUUGAGCCUUAGGUGAGGGUUCAAGUCCCUCUAUCCCCAGUAAAAAGCCCAUUCACUUCUU